rnacentral:rRNA from 1 species
CAGCCGCCGCGGUAAUACAGAGGGUGCGAGCGUUAAUCGGAUUUACUGGGCGUAAAGCGUGCGUAGGCGGCUUCUUAAGUCGGAUGUGAAAUCCCUGAGCUUAACUUAGGAAUUGCAUUCGAUACUGGGAAGCUAGAGUAUGGGAGAGGAUGGUAGAAUUCCAGGUGUAGCGGUGAAAUGCGUAGAGAUCUGGAGGUAUACCGAUGGCGAAGGCAGCCAUCUGGCCUAAUACUGACGCUGAGGUACGAAAGCAUGGGGAGCAAACAGGAUUAGAUACCCGGGUAGUCCCUGUCUCUUAUAC